GAGUAAUGUCUGGGAAACUGCCUGAUGGAGGGGGAUAACUACUGGAAACGGUAGCUAAUACCGCAUAACGUCUUCGGACCAAAGUGGGGGACCUUCGGGCCUCAUGCCAUCAGAUGUGCCCAGAUGGGAUUAGCUAGUAGGUGGGGUAACGGCUCACCUAGGCGACGAUCCCUAGCUGGUCUGAGAGGAUGACCAGCCACACUGGAACUGAGACACGGUCCAGACUCCUACGG
rnacentral:rRNA from 1 species